UUGAACGCUGGCGGCAUGCUUUACACAUGCAAGUCGAACGGUAACAGGGAGCUUGCUCCGCUGACGAGUGGCGAACGGGUGAGUAAUGCAUCGGAACGUGCCUAUUUGUGGGGGAUAACGUAGCGAAAGUUACGCUAAUACCGCAUACGCCCUGAGGGGGAAAGCAGGGGAUCUUCGGACCUUGUGCGAAUGGAGCGGCCGAUGUCAGAUUAGCUAGUUGGUGGGGUAAAGGCCCACCAAGGCGACGAUCUGUAGCGGGUCUGAGAGGAUGAUCCGCCACACUGGGACUGAGACACGGCCCAGACUCCUACGGGAGGCAGCAGUGGGGAAUUUUGGACAAUGGGCGCAAGCCUGAUCCAGCCAUGCCGCGUGAGUGAAGAAGGCCUUCGGGUUGUAAAGCUCUUUCAGACGGAAAGAAAUCGGGCGCGUGAAUAGCGUGCCUGGAUGACGGUACUGUCAGAAGAAGCACCGGCUAACUACGU
rnacentral:rRNA from 1 species